rnacentral:piRNA from 1 species
UCCAGUAGCCUUGAUUAUCGG